rnacentral:rRNA from 1 species
GACGAACGCUGGCGGCGUGCUUAACACAUGCAAGUCGAACGGAAAGGCCCUGCUUUUGUGGGGUGCUCGAGUGGCGAACGGGUGAGUAACACGUGAGUAACCUGCCCUUGACUUUGGGAUAACUUCAGGAAACUGGGGCUAAUACCGGAUAGGAGCUCCUGCUGCAUGGUGGGGGUUGGAAAGUUUCGGCGGUUGGGGAUGGACUCGCGGCUUAUCAGCUUGUUGGUGGGGUAGUGGCUUACCAAGGCUUUGACGGGUAGCCGGCCUGAGAGGGUGACCGGCCACAUUGGGACUGAGAUACGGCCCAGACUCCUACGGGAGGCAGCAGUGGGGAAUAUUGCACAAUGGGCGGAAGCCUGAUGCAGCAACGCCGCGUGCGGGAUGGCGGCCUUCGGGUUGUAAACCGCUUUCGCCUGUGACGAAGCGUGAGUGACGGUAAUGGGUAAAAAAGCACCGGCUAACUACGUG